GCCUCCAGGAAAUAUGGGAUUAUGUGGAAAGACCUAUGUUUGAUAGGUGUACCUGAAUAAGAAAGAGAAUGAAUCCAAGUUGGAAAACACUCUUUAGGAUAUUAUCCAAAAGAACUUCCCCAACCUAGCAAGACAGGCCAAUAUUCAAGUCCAGGAAAUACAGAGAACACCACAAAAAUAUUCCUUAAGAAGAAACACCUCAAGGCACGUAAUCAUCAGAUUAACCGGGGCUGAAAUGAAGGCAAAAAACGCUAAGGGC